GAUGGCAGUUCUACAUUGAAGCAGAAUCCACCAAGCGUUGGGUUGUUCACCCACUAAUAGGGAAAGUGAGCUGGGUUUAGACAGUCAUGAGACAGGUU
rnacentral:ncRNA from 1 species